AUUGAACGCUGGCGGCAGGCUUAACACAUGCAAGUCGAGCGGGGUGAUGGUGCUUGCACUAUCACUUAGCGGCGGACGGGUGAGUAAUGCUUAGGAAUCUGCCUAUUAGUGGGGGACAACAUCUCGAAAGGGAUGCUAAUACCGCAUACGUCCUACGGGAGAAAGCAGGGGAUCACUUGUGACCUUGCGCUAAUAGAUGAGCCUAAGUCGGAUUAGCUAGUUGGUGGGGUAAAGGCCUACCAAGGCGACGAUCUGUAGCGGGUCUGAGAGGAUGAUCCGCCACACUGGGACUGAGACACGGCCCAGACUCCUACGGGAGGCAGCAGUGGGGAAUAUUGGACAAUGGGGGGAACCCUGAUCCAGCCAUGCCGCGUGUGUGAAGAGGGCCUUAUGGUUGUAAAGCACUUUAAGCGAGGAGGAGGCUCUUUUGGUUAAUACCCAAGAUGAGUGGACGUUACUCGCAGAAUAAGCACCGGCUAACUCUGUGCCAGCCGCCGCGGUAAUAC
rnacentral:rRNA from 1 species